AAGUCGUAACAAGGUCUCCGUUGGUGAACCAGCGGAGGGAUCAUUACAGAGUUGCAAAACUCCCAACCCUUUGUGAAUGAACCUACCAGUUGCUUCGGCGGCAGACUCCUCUGGGGCCUAGCCUUUACGGGUACCCCGCCGGAGUCCUACAAACUCUUGAUUUUUUGGCAUCUCUGAGUAGCUUAUAAAUAAGUUAAAACUUUCAACAACGGAUCUCUUGGUUCUG
rnacentral:misc_RNA from 1 species